rnacentral:rRNA from 1 species
UCCGCCUACGGGGCGCAGCAGUGGGGGAUAUUGCACAAUGGGGGAAACCCUGAUGCAGCGACGCCGCGUGGGCGAAGAAGUAUUUCGGUAUGUAAAGCCCUAUCAGCAGGGAAGAAGAAAUGACGGUACCUGAGUAAGAAGCACCGGCUAAAUACGUGCCAGCAGCCGCGGUAAUACGUAUGGUGCAAGCGUUAUCCGGAUUUACUGGGUGUAAAGGGAGCGCAGGCGGCACGGCAAGCCUGAUGUGAAAGCCGGCGGCCCACCCGCGGGACUGCAUUGGUAACUACCGUGCUG